rnacentral:tRNA from 1 species
GCCUUUUUAGUUUAACGGUAAAACGACUGUUUUGUAAUCAGUUGUUGGGAGUUCGAUUCUCUCAAAGGGCACCA